CCGAUGAUGAAUGUUUUGGAUUCCUAUUUUUGCAAUGACGAUGUUAAAAAAUUACCUCUAAGAAGUUCUGAUGGGA
rnacentral:snoRNA from 13 species